AAAGAUGGUUUGUCAAAGUUACAUGAUUCAGAAAAGGAUUGAUGUUUUUUUUUUCUCCAGUAGUGAAUGAAUGUGACCUGUAGAGCAGCUAGUCUGUCACUGCUGCUAUGAACUUUUUCCCCUGCAAGCUCUGCGUCCCAUGUAUUCCAUGCAGGGAAAGGGAAGUCACCAGAUCACUUCUUACCCGGAGAAACUUUCCAUCAAUCAUCAACGGGCAGCAUCAAAUAUUUGCAUUCCAGGACAGAGAGCAUCUUCCUUUUCUUUGUCUCCACCAGCCAGCAAUGCAAAUUUUCUUUAGGACCUCCCGGCUCCAAUCAGAAAUCUUUGCUCCAAUCCAAAGAAAAAGCUUGCUGGCACCUGUGAAGAAGUUCGCAAUCAGUCGAGAGAAUCAGACCUUCUGUGCAGAUGAUUGCCUCGGCUGUGGUAUGCUUUCUUCACUGGCCGUGUUCCGACGCAAAGCGAAGCGCAACUGCAACAUGCACAUGUUCAGUAAACCUUGGUCUGGUGAGUGUAGACUAUAGAGAGAUUUAUAUUGGUUGGAUUUUUUAUGGUUCUGGUGCGAAAACUUCCAUACGGUGUCUUGGUUUGGACACAGAACAGUGGGGGUAUAAUAGUCUUAAUGAGGUGGCAAACCCGAGCAUUUUAUUUGUUAUCCUCCAUUGCUUGUCUGCUAAAAGAAACGGCUUGAUUCAUGACACGAUGAUUGGAAGAUGCAAUGGCAUCCUCAUAGUGCCCAUGUGCCUGUGGAUACUGUUGUGAUUAAACAAGCAGAAUCGAUUAUCAUUGAUUGAACGUUUUAUAAUCAGGGUGAUCUGUA